GACGAACGCUGGCGGCGUGCUUAACACAUGCAAGUCGAACGGAAAGGCCCUGCUUUUGUGGGGUGCUCGAGUGGCGAACGGGUGAGUAACACGUGAGUAACCUGCCCUUGACUUUGGGAUAACUUCAGGAAACUGGGGCUAAUACCGGAUAGGAGCUCCUGCUGCAUGGUGGGGGUUGGAAAGUUUCGGCGGUUGGGGAUGGACUCGCGGCUUAUCAGCUUGUUGGUGGGGUAGUGGCUUACCAAGGCUUUGACGGGUAGCCGGCCUGAGAGGGUGACCGGCCACAUUGGGACUGAGAUACGGCCCAGACUCCUACGUGAGGCAGCAGGGGGGAAUAUGGCACAAUGGGCGGAAGCCUGAUGCAGCAACGCCGCGUGCGGGAUGACGGCCUGCGGGUUGUAAACCGCUUUCGCCUGUGACGAAGCGUGAGUGACGGUAAUGGGUAAAGAAGCACCGGCUAACUACGUG
rnacentral:rRNA from 1 species